rnacentral:tRNA from 1 species
GUGCACAGUAGCUUAAUAAAAGCAUCUGCCUAUCAAGCAGGGGAUGAAGGUCUCAAUCCUUCCUGUGUACU